GGCCUUGGGGAAUGGGAGCAUUUCUAAAUGACUUGAAGCUCUGUCACGGCAUAAUCUCUUAUAAAUAAAUGUCAGUGUAGUCACUGAAUGCAGACUGGAUUUUUUGCCUGACUACGGUGCUAAGCCUUCUAGACAAUAGUUAUGCUAAGGGAUUAUCUUUUAACAUUGUGCAGUUAUCUCCUUUGUUUGUUUUCUUUUUUCAUUAUUCACAUAAGCCAAGGGAAAUGAAAAGCAUCUUAUUUCAGGCAAAAAGGCCUGUGAAUGAUUAACUCGGGUUCCAUGCGUUGGGACUUUGCAUAGCAACCCCUUGGCUUGCAAUGACAAAAAAGCUCAAGGCAGAACAGCAGCCCAGGGACCUGAGACCAACGUUCUCAAAUGAAGGUGGCAGAUCUGCUGUUACAGAAGAAUUCUUUUGCCCUAACUGUGUCUCUGUGAUCUGUGGAUGAGGGUGGGAAAGGACCGCUCAAUCAAUUGGGGUGUACAAAAUGGAGUUUGAGAAGGUAGCUGUUUAUAUGCAUGAUCUCCUGCUGUGAGCUCCUUAAAGUAACCUCUUUACCCCUUUCCACGAAGAUUUCUAUGCCUCAGAACAAAGUUGACCUCAUCUUGAAGAGAAGAUAGAGGGGAGAUAAUGCCUGUAAACAUCUAUCACAAAAUGUUGCUCCAAUUACUGAUGAAUUAAUAAAAAGUCAUAUACUCUCUUCUGAUGCCCA